AGAAGAUACUAAGGGCGCACGGCGGAUGCCUUGGCACAGGAAGUCGAAGAAGGACGCGGCAAGCUGCGAUAAGCUCCGGGGAGGCGCAAACGGCCUUCGAUCCGGAGAUCUCCGAAUGGGGGAACCCAGCAGGGGUCAUGCCCUGCUACCCGCGCCUGAAUGAAAUAGGGCGCGAGGAGGCAACCCGGGGAACUGAAACAUCUAAGUACCCGGAGGAAGAGAAAUCAACCGAGAUUGCGGGAGUAGCGGCGAGCGAAACCGCACCAGCCCAAACCCAUGCACGUGCAAGCUUGAGGGCGUUGCUGCAUGAGGGGUUGUGGGACCGCGCAUUCCAUGGGCCUCAGACCAUGGACGCAGUUACAAAUCCGCGCGGAAGCGGAACGGCCUGGGAAGGCCGGCGGAACAGGGUGAGAGCCCCGUACGCGAAUCCGCGCGGACUGCGAGUGCGGCGCCCGAGUAGCGCCGGGCACGUGAAACCCGGUGCGAACCUGGGGGGACCACCCUCCAAGGCUGAACACUCUCCUGUGACCGAUAGCGAACCAGUACCGUGAGGGAAAGGUGAAAAGCACCCCGAGAGGGGAGUGAAACAGUACCUGAAACCGUGCGCCUACAAGCAGUCGGAGCCCCCGAGCGGGGUGACGGCGUGCCUUUUGUAGAAUGAGCCAGCGAGUUGCGGUAUGCGGCGAGGUUAAGGUUUGAACCGAGCCGCAGUGAAAGCGAGCCUUUAAGAUGGCGAUAGAGUCGCAUGCUGCAGACGCGAAGCCGGGUGAGCUAUCCAUGGGCAGGCUGAAGCGGGGGUAAGACCCCGUGGAGGGCCGAACCCACUUCGGUUGAAAACGGAGGGGAUGACCCGUGGAUAGGGGUGAAAGGCCAAUCAAACCCGGAGAUAUCUCGUUCUCCCCGAAAUAGCUUUAGGGCUAGCCUCGGCCGUUCUCCGACGGCGGUAGAGCACUGGAUCGUCGAGGGGGCUUCACCGCCUACCGACACGAACCAAACUCCGAAUGCCGCCGGAUCAGAGGCCGGGAGUCAGAACAUGUGGGCUAAGCUGUGUGUUCGAGAGGGAAACAGCCCAGACCGCCCGCUAAGGUCCCCAAAUCCAUGCUGAGUGGCAAAGGAUGUGCGUUUGCCUAGACAACCAGGAUGUUGGCUUAGAAGCAGCCAUGCAUUUAAAGAGUGCGUAACAGCUCACUGGUCAAGUGGACAUGCGCCGACAAUUCACGGGGCUAAGCAUGGUACCGAAGCGGCGGACUAAUCUAUAUUAGUGGUAGGGGAGCUUUCCCCGCAGCGGAGAAGCCGAGAGGGCGACCCUCGGUGGAGCGCGGGGAAGUGAGAAUGCUGGCAUGAGUAACGAGAGCGGCGCGAGAAACGCCGCCGCCGUAAGCCUAAGGGUUCCUGGGCAAGGCUAAUCCUCCCAGGGUCAGUCGGGAGCUAAGGCGAGGCCGAGAGGCGUAGCCGAUGCGCAACAGGCGGACAUUCCUGUACCGCCUGCGGACCGCUAUCACCGACGGGGUGACGGAGAAGGGUAGCCGAGCGGGGUUCUGGACGUCCCCGUGAAAGCGCGUAGGGAGCAUCGCAUGGAAAUCAGCGGCGCAUAUAUCCUGAGACGCGAGACGAAAGCUUAUGCUGAAGUCGGCGAGCCCAUGCUUCCGAGAAAAACCUCUAGGAAGGGACGCAGGCGCCCGUACCAAAACCGACACAGGUGGGCAGGUAGAGCAUACCGAGGCGAUCGGGAGAACCAUGGUUAAGGAACUCGGCAUACUGACUCCGUAACUUCGGGAGAAGGAGUGCCCCUGGCGGUGACGGGACUAGCUCCCCGAGCGGCCGGGGGUCGCAGCGAAACGGCCCAAGCGACUGUUUAUCAAAAACACAGGACUCUGCAAAGCCGUAAGGCGACGUAUAGGGUCUGACGCCUGCCCGGUGCUGGAAGGUUACGCGGAUGGGUCAGCCGCAAGGCGAAGCUCUGAAGCCAAGCCCCAGUAAACGGCGGCCGUAACUAUAACGGUCCUAAGGUAGCGAAAUUCCUUGUCGGGUAAGUUCCGACCUGCACGAAUGGCGUA
rnacentral:rRNA from 1 species